rnacentral:lncRNA from 1 species
AUAAUUCACAGUGAACAGAAUAUACAAAAUAAAUAAAAGUCUACAGUGGAAUAGAUUUCUUCAGCACCAAUAUAUAGAUAGGUAUAAAAUCAACAUCUUCUACACAAAGAAUUGAAACAGAUUGUGUCAAUUAUCUCUGUGUUUGGUGUAAAUACAUGUAUCUGUGUCUAGAUGGAGUUUAAAAAAUAGAAAAUAAUGGGCAAAAAAAUAAAUAAUACAGAAAAAUGCUAAUAAUGCAAAAGAAAAAAAUACUAAAUAAGCCCGAAAAGUAAGAAAAGAGAAAAAUAAAAAGCAUAAAGAAUCAAGAAUAGCACUUGGAAAAAAAAUAGGAAUAGAGAAAAAUGACCAAAAAAAAUAAAAUAAUGAGUACAAAAAUGAAGAUCCCCACCACACUAAAUUAAGCCCAAAAAGUAAGAAAAGAAAGAAAUAAUAGUAAGGCAAAAAUUAUAAAGAAUCCAGAAUAAUGGACAAAAAAAUAUGGAAAAGAGAAAAAUUGUAAAAUAAUGAAUACAAAAAUGAAUAUCCCCACCCGGACCCUCAAUUAUAUUUCAUGAGUUUCAGAAAUUUUCAUUCCUUGUCCUUUUUGUAUAUCUAUUCUACAAAAAUAACGAGGAUUAAUACAUUAACCACAUGGCUUAAAAUCUAAAAUUCAUGCAUUCAACUUUACAUAUUACUAACAUAAGACAAUAGUGUUAAAAUUACACCAUUCCAUGCACUUCUGUUUUCCACGUUUUUUAGUUACGAAGUAAAUUCUAAUAGUACAUGUCAAAUGUAGUAUUCAUUGAAGUGAAAACAGGAAGAGUUCAAAAAGAACAAUUUUAAAAACAGAGUAAACUGUGAACCUUAUAAUCAGCAUGACUUUAUCAGAUGAAAAUGCCAAUUCUAUAAAUCCAGGUUAAACAAAGAUACAAUAAUUCAGUGAUGGACCAGAGAUGUUGCGUGUUUGUUCUAAUCAUAUCCGUCUUAAUAUUCUUCAAAUUUUAUUUAUUUUUUAAAUCCUCAUGAUCAUAUAGUCAUUCGCUGAUAAAAUAUAGAAUAACAUAUCAGGGAGCAACCAUUUAAUUUCAGGGGGGGUGGGUAUUUCCCUCUCCCCCCCCCCAAGCAUAGCACAAGCAUUUUAAUUUUAGUUUUAUCAAAACUAUCAAUGGAAUCAUUUUUUCCAAAAUUAAACACUAUAAGGUAUGGAGAAAAUCUGGAUUCAGAAUAGAUUUUUUUUGUAAACUGCUUGAGCAGAAUAUAUUUUUUUUUUAUCAAAUUGAGGAUCAGAAUAUUUUUUUAGGAAACAUGACCCCUCCCCCACAUUGAAGUUAAAUGGUUGUCCCCUAAAUAAAGAUUACAAUGUGCAAUGCACUAAGCUUAUCUACAUACAAGUAUAAAGAAAGUGAAAAUAUAUAACAAAGAUUCCUCAUACCAGUACUUUAAUGAUUAGUUUUUGACAACAAUAAAAUAAACUAAUACUUUCGGGUAUAACACCGAUUCUUCCUAUUUUAAUGAUAAGUUUGGGACCACAACAUGAUAUAAUACUUCUAGGUAGGAGGGAAUGUCCCAUUUAAUAGAAUAUAAAUAAAUAAAUAUAUCUGAGAAGAUGAAAAGUACAUAAAAAAACAUCUGAAUUUGAACUGCAUCAGAUAGAAAUCCACCUUUUGUAGUGCACAUAUACAUGUACAUGAAAUUGACUUUGGAACAUUUAGAUAUGAAAUAAAAGAUGAAUUUCAAUCUGUUUUGUAGAGGUUCUAGUAUCAACAAUGUUUUCAAACAAUUUCAGGCUUUGCACAGACAUUUUUCAACAAAUAGGUGAAUAGAUGCAGCAAUAUUUAUUUGCCAAAAGUCAGUUUCAAUCAGAUGCAGCUCAUUUAAGAAAUCACACAAAUUAUCAAGCAUCUCCUAAAAGUUAAUAGCAUUGGAACAGAGUAGAAUAUCUCCUUCACAUUAACCAAUCAAAAUCUGGCAUUUUAACAUGAAGAAUAAUGAACAUAAUUAACUAAUGACA